UGUGGGGUCUCUGGCAGCAGAGACCUUCUUCCUCCGGGCCUCUCCUGGGAAGCCGGAUUUCCUGGUGAGCCUGACCUUGCUGCUCUUCUGUGGGCUGCCUGCUGCACCCAGAGAGAACAUUCCACAAAGAAGCAGGAGCUGCAGGUACAGAGGAAUCUGUGCUGGGCUAAGGAUGAGGAUCAGCAGACCAAGCAGUUUCUGAAGGACAGAGCCUGCAGGAAGGCCCAGCUGUAGGCAGGGCGGUGUCACGGGGACGCCAGUAGAAGCCGAAGGAGAAGCUGAAAGAAGGCCGGAGAGCCCACAGAGUGAAGAUCUGUUGGGGGCCAGGAGGCCUGCGAGCUUCCUGGCCCCCAAGCACCUCUGCCUACCAUAUGCCUGGUAAACCCCAAUAAAAGACCUGCAAAAAACCACUGAGGACUCUGACUCCUCCUUUACCUGGUCUGCAUGGGAUCAGAAAACCUGCACUGUGGUCCACUCCUACCCUACAAUUGGCGUAAGUCGGCAGGAUGAUCCAUGCAUACGGGUAUGGAGCCCUCCGAAGACCUGGAGGGACUAAGGCGAAACAGACUGUGUUUGCCUGUGACGACGCUGGAGGCGCCAUGGCGGCACAGAAGAUGGACACCAUCAGGGAGCUGUGGGACGAGACCUCAGCUGGAAGAGGAGAUGCCCGAGAGGACCAGCCAACAACACCUGAGGCAGCAAGAAUCAUUGGAAGAGAGGACCAUAAUUUGGAGCUCGCCAGUGCUGAUGCAGGGAGAGGCUAAUGGACUUGGACUAAUGAAUUUGAACUGAUAAUCCCGCCAGAAGGCAGAGGAUCUUGGCAGGUUUUUUUUGCGGGGGGAAUCUGGGGGUGGCCAGUGGGCCUUGAUGGCUAAAAGCAGCCUGUGUAUGCCCAGCAGCCAGGCAGAGGAGAAAAGCCAACUGAGAAGGCAAAAGCUGGUGCUGAUGCUAAGUUUGGGAAGUCCUGAGUGGCUGUUAAGCAGCCUGAGUAUGCUGAAGCCCUGUGAGUCUCGUGAAAUCACCUGUGGGGGAUGCCCUGCUCAUUGUCGAGUGAGGG